ensembl:lncRNA
GUUCAAGGUCCAUCGAUGUUGUAGCACAUAUCAAAAUUCUGUUCCUUUUGGCAGCUGUAUAAUAUUCCUUUGUGUUCUGUGUAUACCACUGGCUGGUUUUGGAAAGGGCCCAGGCAGCCCUGUUUGGCUGCACUGGUCACACUCAGACUGGUCACUGCUGGGACCUGGGUGCCACCACCGUCGUUGGUCACAGGCCAGGCCUCUCUUCUGCCUUUACCCUGAGGAUGUGGCAGACUUCUUCUCCUGCUUCCUUUUUGAUUCUGGUUCACCAGCCACAGGGUGCUCUGAGGGGACCGUAGGGAGAACAUGGAAGAAACCAAGAGCAAGUUAUUUCCUGGAGAGUGGAAAAGUGACCGCUCGGUUAAUCUGAGGGUCUGGCCAGUGCCCCUGCAGGGUGAGAACUGCCGGCCUCGCUGGCUGAAGGACCCACAGCUCCUUCUCUUUACAGGUGAGGAAACUGAGGCCUGGGGGGAGCAGUGGGAGGUGUCAAGGCCCCUCAGCUGGCAGUUAUGUGUCACAGCUGUGACCCGGUCACGGUCCCCCUGACUCCUCUGUUGUGCCCGCUUCGUGGGACGGUCGUUACUAGAUGCUGAGGAUGUCACAGUAAAUAUGACAAAGGUGGACCUCCCCGUGGACAGGAGAGUCGGGGGCAGCAAAGACUGUCAGCCAGGAUGAGGUUCAUCUCCAGUGCCGGCAACCCGACCACAGACGCUCGGACACACUCGGGGCCCGUCCCCUCCACUGUGCUACCUGGCCCACCCACUGCAGCUCAGGCCAUGGGGAAGAGCGAUGGAGCCCGCAGAUGUUACGUCAAGUCAUCCUCCCGGCAACCGUGCGAGGGCCUCCAGGUUGGUUACAGGCGAGAAGUCUGAGGCCCCCAGGGGUGAGGGACCCCAAAGGGCCAUGCACAGCUUGAGGCAGAGCUGGGACCACCACACCUCUGCUCCCAGAAACAGCAUCUGGAAUUCUUUCCACAGCUCUGUGUUGCCGCCUUCAAAACUAGCCUGCCGGGGCACGGCCGCCCAUUAUUUGUGCCGUUUAAAAUUUUACACUGGGUGGGAGUGAGACAAAUGGGAAGGAAAGCAGCUGGGCUGUUUAUUGGAAGAGCGAGCGUGCCAGCCACAGGCGAUGGCCGAGAGCGAUGCUCGCCCCUCUGAACCAAAACAGCGGCAGCGCACACUCCUCUGGCGAGAAGAGCAGAGUGGGGGGCACGAUUACCCCUGUGGGCCUCUGACAGAGGGCUUUGCCCUGAUUUCUUUGUUUUUUCGUUUUCGCGCAGGGGGGUGGGGGUUGUGUUUUGAGCAUAGGGAAUGGCUGGCGACAGCAGGAGCCACAACGCCAGACUGGAUUCCAGGAUCCCAUCGUCUAGGGUUCCUCCUCGAGUCCAGCAGGAGUCCUGUUUUCUGCAGUUGAAGAGAAUGGCCUGAGUUUUCCCUUGAAUACAAGGACAGCUAUUUAUUGACAUAUAAGCUUUCAUGGAUUUAGAACCCUCAAGUCGUUCUUCCUUAAGGAUAUAAAAAGUUUGAAAAUAUUUCCUCACAGAGCCCAUCUUCCAACUGAGUUCUGGGUUUCUUUAGCUCUUCCUCUCUUUUCUUCAGUGUAAAAUACUGUUUAUUGUGUUUGGGAUGGGAAACGAGAACUCCCUGAAAACCCCUUUGGGUGGGGUGUUUGAACAGAAGCUGGUAUGUGUGCGCAAUGAGAUGUCGUAUCUCUCAGGGAAAGAAUUUAGAUGGGUUUCUGUUGACCGGGGUGGUUGACCUACCAUAUACUCCGAAGUGGAAAACCUAGUUGUAAACAAGAUUAUAUGGUAUUACCCAGCUUUUAAAAACAACGCCAAACUCAAACUUACACAUGUUUGCGAGUUAGUGUGAACGUAGAGGAAGAUGUGACAGCACAGGGUCCAGUGCCACCUUCGUCCCCUAGCAGGCCCGGGGGGUGGGGGUGCGGGUGGAGGAGUUAGGGGGAGUAUUCCUUUUCUAUAUGUUAUUUGAUUUGUUACAGUAAUAAAA